AUGGCGCUGCCACAGCCGCCCAGGGGCCGCUCGCAGAGAGGCAGACCCCAGGCUGCUGCCUACGGCCCAGCACGCCCGCCCGCUCUGUGGGCGCCUGCAGCAGCCCUUCAGACCCAACAAGGAGCGGCGCCCGCUCCGUUACCCUCCCCCAGCACCCCGCCCUCAAGCUGCCGCUUGGCAGCGCCCCCGCGGCCUUUCCCUCUCUUUCAAAUUUUUUUCCUGGCAUUUGGAACGAAAUCCGAGCCUGGAGCCAGACCUGAACCCCUGAACCUCCGGCCAGGGGCGCCCUGGGAGCAGCCAGCCCGUGGGCGCACCGCCUGCCCGCCUAGCAGCCAUGAGUCGGUCAUCUGUUCCAGCCCGGCCACUGUGAUGGUUUAUGAUGACUGCAACAAUCAAUGGGUCCGUGCUGGCAUGGGUCCCCAGGCCUGCGGCCGCCUCCAGAUCUACCACAACCCCACGGCCAAUUCCUUCCGCUUGGUGGACCAGAAGAUGCAGCCCAACCAGCAGGUGGUCAUCAACUGUGCCAUUGUCCGGGGCGUCAAGUAUAAUCAAGCCACCGCCAAUUUCCAUCAGUGGCGCGAUGCCCGCAGGUCUGGGGCCUCAACUUCAGCAGCAAGGAGGAUGCCGCCCAGUUUGCCGAGGGCAUGGCCAGUGCCCUGGAGGCGUUGGAAGGAGGUGGGCCCCCUCCACCCCCAGCACCUCCUGCCUGGUAGGUCCCCAAUGGUCCCUCCCUGGAGGAGGUGGAGCAGCAGAAAAGGCAGCAGCCCUGCCCGUCGGAGCACCUAAAGCGCCGUGUCUCCAAUGCAGGAGGCCCACCUACUCCCUCUGCUGGGGGUCCACCCCCACCACCAGGACCUUCCCCUCCUCCAUGUCCUCCCCCACCCCCAGGUUUGCCCCCCUCGGGAGUCCCAGCUGCAGCACACGGAGCCGGGGGAGGACCAGCCCCUGCAUCCCCUCUCCCGGCAGCACAGGGCCCCAGGCCUGGCCGCAGCUAUUGCUGGAGCCAAACUCAGGAAAGUCAGCAAAGAGGCGGAAUCCUCAGGGGGGGCCCGUGGCCCCCAAAACUGAGAGUGAUCGAAGCGGAGGUGGGGGGGCUUAUGGAAGAGAUGAACGCCGUGCUGUCCUGGAGAAGGAAAGCCACACAGGUUGGGGAGAAAAACCCCAAGGAUGAAUCUGCCAAUGAGGAGCCAGAGGCCAGAGUCCCGGCCCAGAGUGAAUCUGUGCGGAGAGCCUGGCAAAAGAACAGCACAACCUUGCCAAGGAUGAAGUCGUCUUCUUCGGUGACCACUUCUGAGACCCACCCCUGCACGCCCAGCUCCAGCGAUGACUCAGACCUAGAGAGGGUGAAACAGGAGCUUCUGGAAGAGGUGAAGAAGGAAUUGCAGAAAGUGAAAGAGGAAAUCAUUGAAGCCUUUGUCCAGGAGCUGAGGAAGUGUGAUUCUCCCUGACUACAGGGACCCAGAAGACCCGCUUCUCCUUUCCGCACACCCCACCUGUCACCCUGCUUUCCGGGCCUCUACUUGAUUUGGAAUUGGCUGAAGACUACACAGCAAUGCAUUGUUCCCACUCCUCAUACCACUGGGGAACCUCCAGGGGGGCGUGGCUUCCCUCGCGGCCCUGCCCACACCCUCACUGGCUGCUGAUUGGCUGGGGAGGCCCCGCCCUUUUCUUCCUUUGGUCCUUCCCCUCUGCCAUCCCCUUGGGGCCCGUCCCUCUGCUGGGGAUGCACCAAUGAACCCCACAGGAAGGGGGAGGAAUGAGGGAAUUUCACAUUCCCUUGUUCUAGAUUCACUUUAACGCUUGUUGCCUUCAAAGUUUUGUUUUUUUAAGAAAAAAAAUAUAUAUUUUUGGGUUUUGGGGGAAAA